CCUGGUGGUUAUGGCGGGGCGGCUGCACCCGUUCCCAUUCCGAACACGGCCGUGAAAUGCCCCAGCGCCUAUGGUACUUCGUCUUAAGACGCGGGAGAGUCGGUCGCUGCCAGGU
rnacentral:rRNA from 1 species